UUGUCUUCAAGUGAAAUCAGUUGUUUUGCUGACUGGAAUUGAAGAUCAUGUUAGCCAUCCACUCUGUUUAUGUGUCUCUUGUUAGUGCAGUGCUCAUAUUGAUCUCAAUUGUUGUAAAAUGCGAAUAUCCAUGUCUCCCCUCUUUCAACAUCUCACCUCACUUGAAAAUCUGUCUAUUCUUCGCUGCAAGGAACUUAUCAGCAAUGAGAAUGAAGAUGGCGCAGGAUGCCUUGGACCUACAAGAUUUGGUCAUCUAUCCAUAAUAGAUGUUCCAAAUUGGUUUCUCUCCCAAGAGAGCUUAGAGAUGUUACCACUCUCCAAGGGCUUCAAAUUAUGGACUAUCCUAGUUUGGCAUCUUUGCCAGAGUGGAUAGGAUAUCUCACUUCACUUUAGGAGCUUGGAAUCGUAAAUUGUCCGAAUUUAAUAUCAUUGCCCGAAGGUAUGCACCGCCUCACCUCUUUACGUCGUUUGAUAAUUGUGAAGUGUUCUCGCUUGGAGGAAAGAUGUGAACAAAGAAUGGGAGAGGAUUGGCCAAAGAUUUCUCACGUUCCAAACUUUCAAAAUGGCGGAGAUGGUAAUGGUAUAGAGUGGAACGCAAGCCAAACUUGCCAAAUUUAUCAGGAACAAUUAAAGGUUUUACGUAUAGACGCUUCUUCGAACCUUGCCGACAAUUAGAUUUGAAGCAACAGGAGCUUUGAAUAUAUUAAAACAGAGCUUUGAAUACUAACAUAGAGAUACUUUCAGAUCUGCAUAUCACCCACUAAUUUCAUUUUUCUGUAAGUUGUCUUG